GAGUUUGAUCCUGGCUCAGGAUUAACGCUGGCGGCGUGCAUGAGACAUGCAAGUCGAACGGACGAGCUUGGCUUGCCUUGCUCGUUAGUGGCGGACGGCUGAGUAACGCGUGGGUGACCUGCCCCGAAGUGGGGAAUAACUGCCCGAAAGGGUGGCUAAUACCGCAUGUGGUGAGUGGUUCGUUCCGUUCACCAAAGCCGCAAGGCGCUUCGGGAGGGGCCUGCGUCCGAUUAGCUCGUUGGUGGGGUAACGGCUCACCAAGGCGACGAUCGGUAGGUGGUCUGAGAGGACGAUCACCCAGACUGGGACUGAGACACGGCCCAGACUCCUACGGGAGGCAGCAGUCGGGAAUUUUGCUCAAUGGGCGAAAGCCUGAAGCAGCAACGCCGCGUGAGGGAUGACGGCCUUCGGGUUGUAAACCUCUUUUCUCAGGGACGAUGAUGACGGUACCUGAGGAAUAAGCCACGGCUAACUACGUGCCAGCAGCCGUGGUAAUACGUAGGUGGCGAGCGUUGUCCGGAUUUACUGGGCGUAAAGAGCGCGCAGGCGGUCGUGCAAGUCGGAUGUGAAAGCCCCCGGCUCAACUGGGGAGGGUCAUUCGAUACUGCUCAACUUGAAGGCGGGAGAGGGAAGCGGAAUUCCCGGUGUAGUGGUGAAAUGCGU
rnacentral:rRNA from 1 species